AGAGCGACAGGGACAGGGCAGAAGCUCCUCAGGAGGCCUCCCCUCUUCAGACCUCUUUUGCGGGGUCGCCAGGGUCCCCAGCCCCAGGUGCAGGUCCUCCUGGGAGGAAGGGUGGCACCAGGGUACUGGAUGCUGGCAUCAGGAGAGCGGGUCUGAGCCACUCACUCCCUGCCUCAUUUCCCGCCACAGUGGCUUCCGGCAGGCACCGAGUCUGUGCGGGGAGAAUCUUACAUCCGCGAGUGCCCUCUGGACGCCACCUGGGGAAUGCGCUCCCUUUUCCCAAACGUCCCUCGGCUCCCACGUCGACCGCCCGUCCAGCAGUCCUGGCUACCCAACGCCACCACGUCCGGCACCUCAACUCACAUCUGGCGCCUCAACUGUCGCGUGGCGUCUCGUCAGGCAUGCCACAAGGUGGCGCCCCGAGGUUCCGCCGAGGGUCCUCUCCGGGGCGCCCGAGAGCGCGCAGGCGCCGGUGGCCUGGCCCGCGUGGGCUCCGAACCGCGGCGCCUUCGCCAGGCAGUAUAGGAAGCGACAGACAGCCGGGACCCACUGCCGUGGGCAGCCGGGCGUGGAGGAGGCAACGGCGAGUGUCGCGGUGUGGGCGAGCGGGCCGAGUGGUCCCCUCAGCCUCCGGACCCGGCCAUGCUGCGCUGGCUGCAGGACUUCCUGCUGGAGGCGGUGGCCUGCCAGGAUGACGAUGACUACUUACGCUACGGGAUCCUUUUCGAAGACCUGGACCGCAAUGGGGACGGCGUGGUGGACAUCAUCGAGCUCCAGGAGGGACUGAGAAACUGGAGCUCCGCGUUUUACCCGAACUCCGAUGAGGUGAGCAGUUUGCAGAAGAUUGGUCCUGUUGCUGUGCCAAAAGAGAGAAUGGGUGAUUUAACUAUUUAUUCAAAACAAAACAAAACAAACAAACAGACAAAACCUGGGGAGAUAAUGCAGCUUUGAGCGCUACAAUAUUGAGGCUUAUUCUUUGUUGUCAAAAAUUCUGAGGUUAUGGGGGAUCUUAUGAAGAUGUGUGACAGAUGACAGUCAUCUUGAGACACUUGAUCUCAAAGGUAAGAUAGCAAACACAGCUUCCUCACUUUCAGCAUAAUUUUAGAACACCUUUGUUUUCAAUAGAUUUGCUCACUGUUUUUCUUCUAGCUUACUUUUGGGGUCCUGUACUUCCUCCUGAUUUCUGUUUCUCUUCUUCUGCUGGCAGGAUUGCUCCCACCCACAACAAUCUCCAGGGCCCACAGAGCUGAGGAAAUAGUUGUCUGGUGGUGAGGCUGUCUUAUUUAAUAUAGGAGCUGCCCUACUGCUGCCAUGUCCCACUGGGACCUCUUAAAUCAUCUGUCCUCUUUAAAUCAUUAUUUCAUGUCAGCUCAUCUGUGUGGAUUAGGAGAAAGUUGGGUCAUUGAUAAAAUGCAUAACAAAACUCCCUCAUUUCUCCUAAAAUAGGAGGCAGUAUCUGUAAUCUUCAGGAAAACCUUUUUCAUCUGAGCUCUGAGAAGCUCCAACAUGGAAAGAAGAAGAGAUCAACUGAGGUUGAACUGCAAGAGCUGAAAGAAACCUACUCCAGACCCUCCAGAAUAUCCAAGUCACGAUCAAGAUUAUGGCUGACAGCAGGCUCUCAUGCAAAAUGAAGGCCCUGAAGGUGAAAAAUGAGCACAAUUCUUUAUAAAAGGGGAAGUAUUAGGAGAUUUGCUCAGGGCACUUACCUCUCUAAACUUAGUUUCUUCAUUUGAAAAUCAGGAUAAUAAUCUCAAGCUUGUAGUAGGGUUGAUAGAAUUAAGCAAGAGAACCUUUAUAAACGCUUUGAAAGGGUGCCUGACACAUAUCAGGCACUUAAUAAAAUUUUAAUUUUCUAGUUUUAAAAAAGACAGACUUUGACCUUGGAUACAAUAAUCAAAAAGCCUAGAGUUCUACUUACUCUAAAGAGAAGUCUUUACUUAGAAGCCAGCAUUUUCUAACUACGUCUCUGGUAAUAAUGUCUGAAUUGAUCUUUGGCUCUACUGUCUCCUAUUUUUUUUUUUUUUAUAGACAGAUUCUUGCUCCACUGCCCAGGUUGGAGUGCAGCGACACAAUCAUAGCUCACUGCAGCCUCCAACUAUUGAGCUAAAGUGAUUCUCCUUCCUCAGCCUCCUAGAUAGCUGGGACUCCACACAUGUGCCACGAUGCUAACUUUUAAUAUAUUUUUUUGUAGAGGCAGGGUCUCAAUUUGUUGACCAGGCUGGUCAUGAACUCCUAGCCUCAUGUGAUCCUCCCACCUAGACCUCUCAAAGGAUUUGAUCCACAGGAUUUGAGCCACCACACCUGGCCCUAUCUCUUCUUUCAAUGGU